UCACCCACCUCCGCCUCCCGAGUGCUGGGAUUCCCGGCACCACGGAUGCAGGAAAAUCAAAUGUUUAGGACACGUUUUACUUAUGUCUCUGUAUGUACCGGGUACAGCACCCACAGGGGCCAGAACACAGCGCCAGAGCCCCCGGAGCUGCAGUUUCAAGAGGCUGUGCACCGCCACGCGUGUGCUGAACUCGGUCCUCCUCACAAGCGGCCAGUGCUGUGACCCGCUGAGCCAGUUCUCCGGCCCCUCCCCGUGACAUUGUUGACGUCCGUGCGUUCCCCAGCCUCCACUGGUUCUUCAUUCCUUUUCCUGCCUGUAUACUAUUCCCUCGGGUGCUUCUAGCUCUUGAAUAUACAACAUGCACAGAAGUAGUGAUGCGCCUCAGUUCGCAGAGUGCUUACUCAGCAUGGACGAGGCCCCAGGUUCCAGCACCGCGAAUACCGAGCUUUGAGCCAUCUCAGCACUUGGGGACGUGGAGGCACCACGCUCAUACGUGCGAGUUUUCAUCACCAGCCGGCGGCACUGUGGGUGGAGAAUUGCAUCAUGGGUGCGCCCUCUGACGUCAGCAGUUACUGCAUUGGUGACCUCAGGGCUCGAGGGACCGUUAGGGGCCGGGCUUAGCGCAGGUGACGUCACAGCGCAUUGUGUAUUCCUAGUCUAUGGGUACCAGGCCCAGCACUUAGCAUCCAGCACCCACCUACAACUGUGGAUUCGACGCCCACCAUCUAUCCACACAUUACCGAGCACUCAGCACCCACCCAUGACUGCUGCAAGACACAGCACCCAGCACCCACGCAUAACAACGAGACCCAGUACUCAGCACCCACCAGUGAGCACACAGUGCCAAACACUGAGGACCGACCCACGGCUGCGAGACUCAGCACUCAGCACCCACCCAGGACUGCUGCAGGAGCCAGCACCUUCCUGGGACCGCAGGACUCAGCCUUCAGCACCCACUCAUGCCUUCUGCCAGAGCCAGCACCCACCGACGACUGCGGUACUCAGCACCCAGCACCCACCGAGGACUGCUGCAGGAGGCAGCACCCUCCGAAGACCGUGGGACUUAGCCCUCAGUACCCACUCAUGCCUUCUACCAGAGCCAGCACCCACCCACGACUGCGGUACUCAGCACCCAGCACCCACCGAGGACUGCUGUAGGACAUAGCACCCUCCUAAGACCGCGGGACUUAGCCCUCAGUCCCACUCAUGCCUUCUGCAGGGUCCAGUAUCCACCCAUGACCAGGGGCUCAGCACCCAGCACCCGCCGCCAGCACUCCGGAGCGCCCGCCCCUCCGCCCAGCGAGCACCCGCGAUUCGGGAGCCGCGAUGACCGUGCUCGGCCGCUGGGUGGCGGGAGCCGACAAGGAUCCACCGCACCACCUCCCGGAAGCCGAGCUGCGGGCGCGGACCGGGCUGCGGGGUCACGGGGUUGUGUCUCGCGGGACAUGGGACUGUGUCAACCAAGCCUUCAAACCCGCAGCACCCUGCUGUUUCACCCAGACCCGGAGGGCUGGAGGUCAGGUAGGGUGCUGGGUGCUGGGUGCUGCGAAGGCCACGGGGAACCGGAAACCGUGUCCGAGGGGAAGUUGAAACCGUCUCUCGCAAGGGAACCUGGAAUGCAGCCGCCUAGGGAUACCGAGUCCUGACGUCACGCAAAGCUGCCCUGACGUCACGCAAAGCCGUCCUGGGUCCUGUUUUUUUCCCCGGCGUGAAUUCUGACGUCGCUGAGACUCAGUCACGGGGUCGAGAGGGCGAUCGGGCUCAUGCUGAGCCACUGACGUCUGUGGUGCAGUCCAGAGCACAGAGUGCUUGCAGCUCGGAAACCAAGUCUCCAGUACCUGAUCACCGAGGUCUAGUGCAGUCAGCACUGACUCCCAGCAGCCGGCACAGUCCGGUACUGAGCACCCGGCCGCUUUUCCCAGGAGAAACAUCUGCCCCUCCUUGCCCCACGCUGACGUCAUCGGCGCCCCCUGGCUUCCCCACGCUGACGUCAUAAUGGAAAGCCCUGAGGCGACCUUGGGCAAAGUGGCAGCAGUGAGGACUCCCAGAAUGCUCCUCGGCCUCCCUGACCCCUGGCAGAGGGCCCGGGGGACCCCGCGGCCGGAAGUGGAGCCCCCAGCGGGUCCCUCCUUCCGCCUGGAAAAGGCCACCCUGGAGAAGCCGCUGCUCAUUUGCAUGCCUCUCAUUUGCAUAUUGCUCAUUUCAAUAUUUCCCCUUAAAUGCUGCUCAUUUAAGUCUCUCUGGUUUGAAUAUUGAUUUCCUGCGUCCCGGAACCCCUGGCAGAGGGCCCGGGGGACCCCGAGGCCGGAAGUGGUGCCCCCAGCGGGUCCCUCCUUCCGCCUGGCAAAGGCCACACUCCAGAAACCGCUGCUCAUUUAACCGUUGCUCAUUUAAAUACCGUGGUUUAAACACCCCUAAUCCGAAUACUGAUUUCCUGCCUCCCUGACCCGGGCACAGGGGGACCCCGUGACCGGAAGUGGGUCCCCCACUGAGGCCCUUCUUCCCCGAGAAAAUCCACGUGUGAGCAAUCGCUGCUCGUGCGAAGGCCGCCAGUUUAAACGUUUCUAGUCUGCGCGUUAACAGCGGUCCUGUGGAAUUUGACCGCCGCUCAUUUACAUACGGAGGAUUUAAAUAUUGAUCACCGAUAUUGGUCAUUUAAACUUCUCUAAUGGGCCUAUUGCUGACUUAACUGUCAGUGCACACCGUAGUUCUAAUCUGAAUAGCCAUCAUUUAAAUUCCGCCCAUUGCAAUGCUGCUAAUUUAAAUGCCCCUAAUUAGUAAAUUAAUCCUAAUUUGCAUAUUCCCUAUUACCCCUGACUGCACGAUCGCUGAUCUGCGCGUUGCUGAUUAAACAUCGAUGAUCUAAGGGUCUUUAUUUAAA